UACGAAGGGGGCUAGCGUUGCUCGGAAUCACUGGGCGUAAAGCGCACGUAGGCGGAUUGUUAAGUCAGGGGUGAAAUCCUGGAGCUCAACUCCAGAACUGCCUUCGAUACUGGAAAGCUCGAGUCCGGGAGAGGUGAGUGGAACUGCGAGUGUAGAGGUGAAAUUCGUAGAUAUUCGCAAGAACACCAGUGGCGAAGGCGGCUCACUGGCCCGGUACUGACGCUGAGGUGCGAAAGCGUGGGGAGCAAACAGG
rnacentral:rRNA from 1 species